rnacentral:rRNA from 1 species
AUUGAACGCUGGCGGCAGGCCUAACACAUGCAAGUCGAACGGUAACAGGAAGAAGCUUGCUUCUUUGCUGACGAGUGGCGGACUGGUGAGUAAUGUCUGGGAAACUGCCUGAUGGAGGGGGAUAACUACUGGAAACGGUAGCUAAUACCGCAUAACGUCGCAAGACCAAAGAGGGGGACCUUCGGGCCUCUUGCCAUCGGAUGUGCCCAGAUGGGAUUAGCUAGUAGGUGGGGUAACGGCUCACCUAGGCGACGAUCCCUAGCUGGUCUGAGAGGAUGACCAGCCACACUGGAACUGAGACACGGUCCAGACUCCUACGGGAGGCAGCAGUGGGGAAUAUUGCACAAUGGGCGCAAGCCUGAUGCAGCCAUGCCGCGUGUAUGAAGAAGGCCUUCGGGUUGUAAAGUACUUUCAGCGGGGAGGAAGGGAGUAAAGUUAAUACCUUUGCUCAUUGACGUUACCCGCAGAAGAAGCACCGGCUAACUCCGUG